rnacentral:rRNA from 1 species
ACACUCCUGCGGGAGGCAGCAGUGGGGAAUUUUGAACAAUGGGCGAAAGCCUGAUCCAGCAAUGCCGCGUACAGGAUGAAGGCCUUCGGGUUGUAAACUGCUUUUGUACGGAACGAAAAAGCUCCUUCUAAUACAGGGGGCCCAUGACGGUACCGUAAGAAUAAGCACCGGCUAACUACGUGCCAGCAGCCGCGGUAAUACGUAGGGUGCGAGCGUUAAUCGGAAUUACUGGGCGUAAAGCGUGCGCAGGCGGUUAUGUAAGACAGAUGUGAAAUCCCCGGGCUCAACCUGGGAACUGCAUUUGUGACUGCAUGGCUAGAGUACGGUAGAGGGGGAUGGAAUUCCGCGUGUAGCAGUGAAAUGCGUAGAUAUGCGGAGGAACACCGAUGGCGAAGGCAAUCCCCUGGACCUGUACUGACGCUCAUGCACGAAAGCGUGGGGAGCAAACAGGAUUAGAAACCCUAGUAGUCCCAUG